rnacentral:rRNA from 1 species
AGAGUUUGAUCCUGGCUCAGGAUGAACGCUGGCGGCGUGCUUAACACAUGCAAGUCGAACGAUGAUCCCAGCUUGCUGGGGGAUUAGUGGCGAACGGGUGAGUAACACGUGAGUAACCUGCCCUUAACUCUGGGAUAAGCCUGGGAAACUGGGUCUAAUACCGGAUAUGACUCCUCAUCGCAUGGUGGGGGGUGGAAAGCUUUAUUGUGGUUUUGGAUGGACUCGCGGCCUAUCAGCUUGUUGGUGAGGUAAUGGCUCACCAAGGCGACGACGGGUAGCCGGCCUGAGAGGGUGACCGGCCACACUGGGACUGAGACACGGCCCAGACUCCUACGGGAGGCAGCAGUGGGGAAUAUUGCACAAUGAGCGAAAGCCUGAUGCAGCGACGCCGCGUGAGGGAUGACGGCCUUCGGGUUGUAAACCUCUUUCAGUAGGGAAGAAGCGAAAGUGACGGUACCUGCAGAAGAAGCGCCGGCUAACUACGUGCCAGCAGCCGCGGUAAUACGUAGGGCGCAAGCGUUAUCCGGAAUUAUUGGGCGUAAAGAGCUCGUAGGCGGUUUGUCGCGUCUGCCGUGAAAGUCCGGGGCUCAACUCCGGAUCUGCGGUGGGUACGGGCAGACUAGAGUGAUGUAGGGGAGACUGGAAUUCCUGGUGUAGCGGUGAAAUGCGCAGAUAUCAGGAGGAACACCGAUGGCGAAGGCAGGUCUCUGGGCAUUAACUGACGCUGAGGAGCGAAAGCAUGGGGAGCGAACAGGAUUAGAUACCCCGGUAGUCC